GAUGAACGCUGGCGGCGUGCCUAAUACAUGCAAGUCGAGCGAACGGACGAGGAGCUUGCUCCUUCGACGUUAGCGGCGGACGGGUGAGUAACACGUAGGUAACCUACCUAUAAGACUGGGAUAACUUCGGGAAACCGGAGCUAAUACCGGAUAAUAUUUCGAACCGCAUGGUUCGAUAGUGAAAGAUGGCUUUGCUAUCACUUAUAGAUGGACCUGCGCCGUAUUAGCUAGUUGGUAAGGUAACGGCUUACCAAGGCAACGAUACGUAGCCGACCUGAGAGGGUGAUCGGCCACACUGGAACCGAGACACGGUCCAGACUCCUACGGGAGGCAGCAGUAGGGAAUCUUCCGCAAUGGGCGAAAGCCUGACGGAGCAACGCCGCGUGAGUGAUGAAGGUCUUCGGAUCGUAAAACUCUGUUAUUAGGGAAGAACAAACGUGUAAGUAACUGUGCACGUCUUGACGGUACCUAAUCAGAAAGCCACGGCUAACUACGUG
rnacentral:rRNA from 1 species